rnacentral:rRNA from 1 species
UACGUAGGGAGCAAGCGUUGUCCGGAAUCAUUGGGCGUAAAGCGCGCGUAGGUGGCCCAGUAAGUCCGCUCUGAAAGUCAGAGGCUCAACCUUUGAAAGCGGGUGGAUACUGCUGGGCUAGAGUUCGGAAGAGGCGAGUGGAAUUCCCGGUGUAGCGGUGAAAUGCGCAGAUAUCGGGAGGAACACCUAUGGCGAAGGCAGCUCGCUGGGACGUUACUGACGCUGAGACGCGAAAGCGUGGGGAGCAAACAGG